UCUGCGCGCGUGCGAGGAGACGGCAGCCUCCGACCUGCGCCUGUCUGCCUCGUAGGAGAGAGAGAGGCGGCCGGAGAGAGGGAGCCUGUCUGCCAAGUGCUGCUCCCUGGUGCUCAGAGCCUGCUCCGUCUCCAACUCAUUCAUUUUGCCGGCUAACAUGAGAGAUCAUGGCCGCCUUCGGGCUUCUCAGCUAUGAGCAGAGACCUCUGAAACGACCCCGGCUGGGACCGCCCGACGUCUACCCCCAGGACCCCAAGCAGAAAGAGGAUGAGCUUACGGCAGUGAAUGUAAAACAGGGCUUCAAUAAUCAACCGGCUUUCUCUGGAGAUGAGCAUGGAUCUGCUAGAAAUAUUGUCAUUAAUGCCUCAAAGAUUGGCGCUUAUUUUAGCAGCAUAUUAGCAGAAAAGCUAAAACUUAAUACUUUCCAGGAUACGGGAAAGAAGAAACCACAAGUAAAUGCCAAAGACAAUUAUUGGCUGGUUACUGCUCGCUCUCAGAGUGCAAUUCAUAACUGGUUCACAGAUUUAGCAGGAAAUAAACCACUGCCCAUUUUAGCAAAAAAGGUUCCUAUCCUCAGUAAAAAGGAAGAUGUCUUUGCUUAUUUAGCAAAAUAUUCUGUGCCACUGCUGCGAGCAGCAUGGCUGGUCAAGAUGACAUGUGCCUACUAUGCUGCUAUAUCUGAAGCUAAACUUAAGAAGCGUCAAGCUACUGAUCCAAAUAUUGAAUGGACUCAAAUCCUAACCCGGUACCUUCGAGAGCAGCUGGCAAAGAUUGCAGAAUUUUAUCAUGUGACUACAAACCAAGGCAACGGCUCUGUAGCUGUGCCUCAAGAGGUGGAACAAGCACUGAAGCAGUGGGAAUAUAAUGAAAAACUGGCAUUUUAUAUGUUCCAGGAAGGAAUGCUUGAAAGACAUGAGUAUUUGACAUGGAUACUAGAUGUGUUGGAAAAAAUCAGACCCACCGAUGAUGACCUUCUUAAGCUAUUGUUACCACUAAUGCUACAGUAUUCAGAAGAGUUUGUUCAGUCAGCUUACCUGUCCCGUCGCCUUGCUUAUUUUUGUGCCAGACGUCUAUCUUUAUUGUUAAGUGACAGUCCUAACUUGGUAGCUGCACACUCACCUCACAUGAUUAUUGGAUCAAAUAAUCCUCCUUUAACAGCUCCAAGUCCUACUACACCUGGUCCUAUGGUGAGCCCAGUACAGCUAGCCUGUUCAGAUUUCUUUUCCUGCUCACAACAUCGUCCACUAGUUUAUGGACUCAGUUGUAUGCUGCAGACUAUAACUCUUUGUUGCCCAAGUGCCUUGGUGUGGAAUUAUUUCACAAAUGAAAAUAAGAGCAUUAAUCCAGGCUCUCCUCUGGAUUUACUUCAAGUUGCUCCAUCUAGUUUACCUAUGCCAGGUGGAAAUUCAGCUUUUAAUCAACAGGUUCGGGCAAAGAUUUAUGAAGUAGAACAGCAGAUAAAACAAAGAGGUCGUGCUGUGGAGGUGCGGUGGUCUUUUGACAAGUGCCAAGAAUCAACAGCAGGGGUCACCAUCAGCCGAGUUUUGCAUACCCUAGAGGUUUUGGAUCGACACUGUUUUGACAGAUCAGAUUCCAGCAAUUCAAUGGAAACUCUUUAUCACAAGAUUUUCUGGGCAAACCAGAACAAGGAUAGUCAAGAGGUUGCCCCUAAUGAUGAAGCUGUUGUAACAUUGCUUUGUGAAUGGGCAGUGAGCUGUAAAAGAUCCGGGAAAUACAGGGCAAUGGCUGUAGCAAAACUCAUGGAAAAGAGACAAGCAGAAAUUGAGGCAGAAAGGUGUGGUGAAUCAGAAGUCCUUGAUGAAAAGGAAUCUAUUUCUUCAGCUUCUCUCACUGGUUCCAGCCUUCCUGUUUUCCAGAAUGUCCUCCUUAGGUUUUUAGAUACACAGGCUCCUUCAUUAUCUGACCCGAAUAGUGAGUACGAGAAGACUGAAUUUGUGAAUCUGGUGCUGCUAUUUUCUGAGUUCAUCCGACAUGAUGUUUUUUCACAUGAUGCCUAUAUGUGCACUUUAAUAUCACGUGGAGACUUGUCAAUCACUACGGCUACUAGACCACGCUCGCCUACUGGAGAAACUGUGGAUGAACAUUAUUCCAAGGACCAUGAUAUGAAAUUGGAGGAUCAUAGUAUUAUGGAGCAUAUGGGCAUUGACUCAGGAACCACUAAUAUUUUUGAUGAUGUAGACAAGAAUGACUUUAAGACUGAUUUUGGUUCGGAAUUCCCAAUUUUUUCUCCAAUGCCUGCGGAGUCUUGUGAGAAUGUGCACUCUUCAUUAGACAGAAGAAUCUCAGUUAACAGUGAGAAGACAGUCAAAAGGGAAAGACUGAAAGAACUGAUUUUUCCUUCCAACUAUGACCUUCGCCAUUUGCAGUAUGCAACACAUUUUCCUAUACUUCUGGAUGAAUCUUCCAGUCAUGAAUGUAACCAGCGCAUGAUUCUUCUUUAUGGUGUUGGCAAAGAACGUGAUGAGGCAAGGCAUCAGCUAAAGAAAAUUACCAAAGAUAUCCUGAAGAUCCUGAAUAAGAAAAGUACUACUGAAAUGGGUGUUGGGGAUGAAGGGCAAAAAGCCAGGAAGAACAAACAAGAAGCAUUUCCAACUCUAGAGACUGUAUUCACAAAACUGCAGCAACUGUCAUAUUUUGAUCAACAUCAGGUGACAUCUCAGAUCUCCAGUAAUGUUCUGGAACAAAUUACUAGUUUUGCCUCCGGAACAUCAUACCACCUUCCUCUGGCUCACCACAUACAACUUAUCUUUGAUCUUAUGGAGCCGGCACUAAAUAUCAAUGGCCUUAUUGACUUUGCCAUACAGUUGUUAAAUGAACUGAGUGUUGUGGAAGCAGAAUUACUGCUGAAGUCAUCCAGUCUAGCAGGAAGUUACACAACAGGAUUGUGUGUGUGCAUUGUUGCUGUUCUGCGCCGUUACCAUGCCUGCCUGAUCCUUAACCCUGAUCAGACUGCACAAGUUUUUGAAGGAUUAUGUGGUGUUGUCAAGCAUGUUGUUAAUCCAUCAGAAUGUUCAUCCCCUGAAAGAUGUAUUUUAGCUUACCUCUAUGACCUCUAUGUAUCAUGUAGUCACCUGAGAAGCAAAUUUGGAGACCUUUUCAGUAGUGCCUGUUCAAAGGUAAAGCAAACCAUAUACAGCAAUGUGCAGCCUUCAAAUUCCAACCUGUUAUGGGAUCCAGAGUUCAUGUUGGAUUUUAUUGAGAAUCCCUCUGCUCACAGCAUCAACUACUCAAUGCUAGGCAAGAUCCUGAGUGAUAAUGCAGCUAAUCGCUACAGCUUUGUCUGUAAUUCACUUAUGAAUGUAUGCAUGGGGCAUCAAGAUGCAGGGAGAAUUAACGAUAUAGCAAACCUCUGUGCAGAGCUGACAGCAUGCUGCACAAUGCUGAGCUCAGAAUGGCUGGGGGUUCUGAAAGCUCUUUGUUGCUCUUCAAAUCAUGUCUGGGGUUUUAACGAUCUGCUUUGCAGUGUGGAUGUGAGUGACCUUUCAUUCCAUGAUUCCCUGGCUACUUUCAUUGCUAUACUAAUAGCUCGGCAGUGUUUUUCUCUGGAGGAUGUGGUUCAGCAUGUUGCGCUUCCUUCUCUUCUUGCAGCAGCUUGUGGGGAUCCAGAUGCUGAACCUGGGGCAAGAAUGACUUGUCGACUUCUGCUUCAUCUCUUUAGAACACCCCAGGUCUACCUGUUUUCACAAGCAACAGGGAAGUCAUUCCCAGGCAUUCGCUCUUCCUGUGACCGUCACCUUUUAACUGCUGCUCACAACAGCAUAGAAGUGGGAGCUGUGUUUGCCGUCCUAAAAGCAAUUUUAAUGCUUGGUGAUGCUGAAAUUGGCAGCAGCAGUAUCAAUUCCUUGAAGAAUGAAGACUUCACUAUGAGAGGUUUAUUAGAUGACCUUGAUGAUGAUGAAAUUUGGGGUGCCUCCCACACAUUGACAUCAUGUGGAAAAGCUAUUUCAAUCGAAACUGCUAGUCUAAGUGAAUAUGCUAGAUACGUACUCAGAACUAUUUGUCAGCAGGAAUGGGUGGGAGAACACUGCUUAAAAGAACCUGAGAGGUUAUGUACAGACAAAGAUCUUAUACUUGACCCUGUUCUCUCAAACAAGCAAGCACAAAAACUACUGCAACUUAUCUGUUAUCCUCACGGGAUUAAAGAAUGCACAGAGGGUGACAAUCCUCAAAGGCAACACAUCAAGCGCAUACUUCAGAACUUAGAUCAAUGGACUCUCAGGCAGUCUUGGUUGGAACUACAGCUGAUGAUCAAACAGUGCAUGAAAGAGCCUGGUUCUGGGUCUGUGGCUGAAAUGAACAGCUUGUUGGAUAAUAUUGCAAAGGCGACAAUAGAAGUGUUUCAGCAAUCCGCUGAUCUAAACAAUAACUCUUCUAACUCUGGUAUAGGCCUCUUCAAUCCAAACUCUGUUGGAAAUGCUGACACAAGUAAUACAAGACAGAAUGGUAAAAAGACAUUCUUAAGUUCUUCUGAACGUCGAGGAGUAUGGUUGGUGGCUCCCCUGAUUGCAAAACUACCUACCUCAGUUCAAGGUAGAGUGUUGAAAGCAGCUGGAGAAGAGCUAGAGAAAGGUCAACAUUUGGGAUCAUCCUCAAAAAAGGAAAGAGACAGACAGAAGCAAAAAAGCAUGUCUCUGUUGAGUCAGCAACCUUUCCUUUCUUUGGUACUUACAUGCCUUAAGGGACAGGAUGAACAACGGGAAGGGCUUCUAACAUCACUGCAAAACCAAGUUAAUCAGAUCUUAAGUAACUGGAGGGAAGAACGAUAUCAGGAUGAUGUUAAAGCUAGGCAGAUGAUGCAUGAAGCCUUACAGCUGCGUCUUAAUUUGGUGGGUGGAAUGUUUGACACUGUGCAGAGAAAUACACAAUGGACUACUGACUGGGCCCUUCUGCUUCUUCAGAUAAUUACUUCAGGAACUGUUGAUAUGCAAACCAACAAUGAAUUAUUCACAACGGUGCUUGAUAUGCUUGGUGUUCUGAUCAAUGGAACCUUAGCUUCUGAUCUAUCAAAUGCAUCCCAGGGUGGGUCUGAAGAAAACAAAAGAGCAUACAUGAAUUUAGUGAAAAAGUUGAAAAAAGAAUUAGGAGACAAGCAUUCAGAAAGUAUUGACAAAGUUCGCCAGCUGCUACCUUUGCCAAAACAGACGUGUGACAUUAUUACUUGUGAACCAAUGGGAUCUUUGAUUGACACGAAGGGAAACAAAAUUGCAGGAUUUGACUCCAUAGAUAAGAAACAGGGCCUUCAGGUAUCAACAAAACAGAAGGUGUCCCCUUGGGAUUUAUUUGAGGGACAUAAAAAUCCUGCUCCUCUCUCCUGGGCUUGGUUUGGUACAGUUCGUGUUGACAGGAAAGUAAUAAAAUAUGAAGAGCAGCAGCAUCUUCUGCUAUACCAUAUGCAUCCAAAACCCAAGCCAAGAAGCUACUACCUCGAGCCAUUGCUGCUACCUCCAGAAGAGGAAGAGGAAGAGCCUACUACACCCGUCUCUCAGGAACCAGAAAGAAAAUCAGCAGAGCUGUCAGAUCAGGGAAAACCUAACACAGAUGACGAAAAGAAAUCAAAAGGCAGGAAAAGAAAGACUAAAUCAAAUUCAAGAUCUGAUGAAUAUCCACAGAAUAACAUAUACAGAGUGCCUCCCACUUAUUCACCAAUUUCCUCUCAGAUGAUGCACCAUGCCCAGUCUGCCCUGUGGGGCUAUAACAUUAUGGGACAGCCACAGCAGCCAAGUUUUUUUGUUCAGAACCAGCCCCUUCCACCAGGUGGUUCUAGAUUGGACCCUGCUGGCUCCUUUGUUCCAACUAAUACAAAACAAGCCCUGUCUAACAUGCUGCAGAGGCGUUCUGGCACCAUGAUGCAGCCACCCUCCAUACAUGCAAUUACAUCUCAGCAGCAGUUGCUCCAGAUGAAACUCCUGCAACAACAGCAGCAGCAGCAACAGCAACAGCGACUACUCAGGCAGCAAACCCAGACAAGAACUUUCCAACAGGGCCAGCCACUAGACCAAGCUGCUAUUUUCACUCAACAAGUACGACCUUCUUCCCAGCUUCCACAGUAUCCAGGGUUACAGCAGGCACAGACAAUGCCUCAUGGAUACACAAUGUACAGUACUCAGAUGCCUUUGCAACAACAGCAGCCUGGUGGUGUUGUGCUUUCUCCCAGCUACAACCCUAGAACUUAUCCAGCACCCCAUUCAAAUCCAAGUCUAAUAGAAAGACUAAGACAGAUGCAACAGCAGCCAAGUGGGUACAUUCAACAGCAGGCUGCUGCCUACCUUCAGCCUUUAACAGGCACUCAAAGACUGACUCAUCAGCCUUUGCAACAGAGUUCCUUGGUUGGAGGGGCACUUGAAAAUGUACCAACCACAGCUCCCCACCCUAACCUUAACUCGGUACAGCUGCCUCAGGAACAGAUGAGACAGAGACAACAGCAGAUUCGACAACAGCGACUCCUUCAGUUACAGCAGCAGCAACAGCAGGGUCAGCAGCAGGCCCUUGGUCUCCAAGCAAUGCCACCACAGCAACCUUUGUUUCCAAGGCAAGGCUUGCAGCAGACUCAGCAGCAACAGCAGACAGCUGCUUUAGUCAGACAACUCCAGAAACAGCUCUCUAGAUUGAAUCCAUAGAGAACAAGACCAAAAUUACCACUGUCAGCAUUGGACCUGGACUGCAAACACACCAGUUUAAUAACAAAUGGAAGCAGUUCACACUCCUCAAGUAACCAGCCACAACAAGGAGUGAAUCAAUAUGGGCAUCCUUCACACUUCUGAAUCUGGAAGACAGGAGCAAGAUGUAGUGUUAUGUUUGCACUGAAGAAUAGAAACAAAUCAAAAUUCAAUGCACUAGUUAUUGCUAGAAAGCAAGUUUUAAUUUUUUUUUCUUUAUUUUUCAAGACAUUUUUUGUGCUGCAAUUGAUGUGAAUAAGUAACGAAAGUGAAAGGUUUUUCUUUUGCAUUUAACUAGAUUUAAAUGUAUGGAUUUGUGGGCCUAUUUAAGGAACAUUGUUGUUGCAAAUUAUAUGAAUUUGGUGCUUUUUUAGGGUACUGUUACUUUUAAAGAGGAUAAAGAAUGCUGGAUUUUAUUUAUUGAUGAGGAAACUUUUUGUUUCGUUUUGUCUUUUAUUUUUUUU